CAAAUGAAUUGACGGGGCCGCACAAGCGGCGGAGCAUGCGGAUUAAUUCGAUGCAACGCGAAGAACCUUACCAAGGCUUGACAUACACCGGUAACGCCCAGAGAUGGGUGCCCCUUUGUGGUCGGUGUACAGGUGGUGCAUGGUUGUCGUCAGCUCGUGUCGUGAGAUGUUGGGUUAGGUCCCGCAACGAGCGCAACCCUCGUCCUAUGUUGCCAGCGGGUCAUGCCGGGGACUCAUGGGAGACUGCCGGGGUCAACUCGGAGGAAGGUGGGGAUGACGUCAAAUCAUCAUGCCCCUUAUGUCUUGGGCUUCACGCAUGCUACAAUGGCCGGUACAAAGGGCUGCGAUACCGCGAGGUGGAGCGAAUCCCAGAAAGCCGGUCUCAGUUCGGAUUGGGGUCCGCAACUCGACCCCAUGAAGUCGGAGUCGCUAGUAAUCGCAGAUCAGCAACGCUGCGGUGAAUACGUUCCCGGGCCUU
rnacentral:rRNA from 1 species